rnacentral:tRNA from 1 species
AAUUGUGGUUUUAGCUUACACGCUGGUUGUAAGAGUUCUAUUUACAAAAAGGCAAGAAAAGCUUUAUAGGAGAACAAUGUAUAGUCGUCUACUGCAUUAUUCAAAACGGAUAAAGAUAGAUGGAGUAGGUGGAAAAAGAAAUUAGGUAUAUUAAGAUGAGAAAAAAAACGUCUAAUUAAAUCUAAAAAUAGCUUAAAUAAGGAAGUCGAGCUAUAAUAUAUGGAAUUUGAUGAAAUUUCAUAAACCAAAUUCUAUCAUUUAUGUCAGUAUUUAAUUACUAAAGAUUGUUUUUAUUUAAUUCAACAAGUAUUCUAUUUAAAGAACCUAAUCAAUCUUAUGCUCCCUCUCCCUCUCUCUCUCUCUCUCUCUCUCUCUCUCUCUCUCUCACUUUUAUUUCUUACUCUUUCUAUCCCAUUCUUUCUUUUUUUCCCUCUCACAUGCUCCUCUCUUCCUUUCACAUUCAUUAAAGACACUCUAGUAUAUUAUUUAUAAUAAAUUUUCCUCUUGACUAAGUGGCACUUAUAUGAUAAACUUUAUCUUAUUAAAGCUUCCUAUUCUGUUUUGACGAUUUUGCUUCUUCUUUCAACUAUCAAAUAUUUAAUUUACCGUGUACAUCUUAAUAGCUAUAUAUACAGUAUAUACUAUUAUAUUUAUAUCUUGUCCUUUUGUUAAUAAUCACAAUUGAUAUAGUAUUCUAAAGACUCUAGGGAUUUUAUUUUCUAAUAUUGAAAUGUAUUAUUUCCCGAAAGAACCUAGGGACUUUUGCAUUUUUAUAUUACAAAUCUCUCAAAAGAACAUUAGGUAACAAUAUUUCUAUAGUGGGAAAAACUGAAGGAUAUUAAUUGAUUUCCAAGAUUGGAUGCUAAAUUUCACUUAAUAUAAUUGUUGCCCUAAGAAGAAAUUAGAAUAUAACUUUCAUUUUGUUGGUAUGUUGAAAUAAAACUUUUAAAAGUAGCUUGUAUAUUGUUUUUCACCGAAUCAUAAUGGACUUGUAAUUUUUUUAUACGGUCAAUUAACUAAUACUAUAAUAGUAAUAAUCAAUUAAUACCUCAGGAAAUAGGUUGAUAUUAAAUAAUUGGAAGGAGCAAGGUGAACCACUCUAAGGGUCUGGUUGUAGCUUCUAAAUUCUAAGAUAAACUGGUUACUCUAAAACUGCUACCCUUUAUUUACAACUGAAAAAUGUCAAAAACUACUUCUAUUCUUGUUAAAACCUUUGGUUAUACAUUUAUACUUUCGUAUUUUAGCUACAUAACAUUUACGGUUAAACUUUAUUAUAGUGAACUAUCUGUGGUCAGUUAUAAAAAUAGGACUGUUAACAUUACAAUAUAUGUGAACAAAGAUAAACUGCAAGAUUUCUUUCAUAGUGCAAACUUUACAUAUAUUGUAUUAUAUCCCUUAUUACUGCUGAGUUUUAUGAAAAAGUUUAAUUGUUUCAAGUUUAUUUUUGUAUUUGUGCCUGUAAUUUUACUACUGCAAAUUCUUUUCGGUUCUCUAUUAUUCGAAAGAGUAAACAAAGAAUUGAAAGAAUAUCAGCAAGUUUAUAAAUGCAAAAGAACCUGGCCAGUUGAUUACUAUAUAUUUAUUCUUUGGGCAUUCUGCCAUUCAUUCUUAUUGAUUUGUAUAUGCUUCUGGCGAUUUAUUCUGGAAAAGUAUCAAUCUGGUGGUUAUAUUGUUUUUACAUGGAAAGGAUUAAUUAAGUUUCAAUUGAGAAGUAGACAAUUAGAUAGUUUUCGAAUAGAAAAUGAACUUAGGGCCAGAAAAGGAUAUUUUAUCGAUUUAAUUGAAUAUGCUUGGUCGACAUUUUUGAUGGUUAAUUAUCUCGAUAGAGAUAAUGUAUUAUUAAAUCUAACGGAAUUCAAUGAAAUUGUAUUUAAUACAACAGAGAAUGACUCGAAUACGUAUAAUCACGCUCUCUCCAAUCACAGAAAGUAUUGUAACAUUCACAAAACAACCUCCAAGUCAACAACAGCGAAAAGGAAGCCUUGUUCUUGGAGAAUGCUAAGAAUUAGAUUGGAUCCAUGGAAAUUUUCUUCAAUAGAUUUUGAAAAUACAAUUCACAUAGAUGAUUUAGCUCUUCUUCAUAAGAUGAACAUUCAUUUUCUUACCCCAUUCUCAUAUAUGGAGACAAACCAGAAUGAUUGUCUCAUAAAUUGUUUGCAAAAAUUCCAUAGAUUUGAAAAUAUAUUUAUCAAAAUAUAUGUAUACGUUAUAGAAAGUCUCAUUAUAAGAGAGGAUGGAUUUACUCUUAUUAACCUGUUGUUGGAAAAGUUACAAAGUUCAUAUCUAAGGGUCAUGGUUCAAAAUCAACUAACAAAAAUAACAUUCUCUAGCUGGCCUCCUCCACUAUGGUUCCAUUCCCUUAUGAAAUUGAGAUAUAUGAUAAAAAAUAACUUGAAAGUUAUCAAUCUAAGAUACUGCACAGAAGAUAUUUUAUUGUUUAUUUCUCGUCCUAGUGAAACUGUUAUAUUUGAUAUAUUUUGUUUGUUAAAUCUUACAUUUAAAGAUUUAUGGAUUCUAGAAAACUAUGGAUUAUUUCAAGUUUUAAAUAUUCAAGAUUAGUAGAAUAUAAUAAAAUUUUGAUCCUGCUACUAAAAAAUUCACAAAUACUGUUUUAAUACUAGAAGCAAUAGAUUUCUAUAAAAAAUAAUAACAUGCUCACGUGACAUAUACAAAUAUUAGAACCACUCUAAUUCAACCAUUUAAAGCGAAUCUAUAAUAUUUGAGCUGAAAACAUAAAAUGCUGCGAACAAUCUCCAGUCGGAUAGUGCAAAUAAAAUAUGCAGUUAUCUGCUCUCUUCUUAUCUAUUUUACAUUCUCAAUUGCAAUAGUUUUUACGGAAUGGAUAAACCUGACGAUAUAUACACAGAAUGGUAGUAUGAGCAGAAAUAUUUCUAUUCCAGAAGAAAGAGCAUUCGACGAUUUAGCCUUUCAUUUUGGAAAUUUGACCUUAAUUACAAUACUUUAUCCGAGUUUAUUAUUCUUUUUUAAAAGAAAUAUUGUUUAUAUCGCAUUAUCAAUUUUAACUAUGUUAAUAACAUUUUUCGUUUGGGUAUUUGCUGUCGAAAUUUAUAUUGAUUGCAUUAAUAGAUUAAGAUAUUAUAAUAAAUCUUACAGAAUCGUAUGGUUCUGGGGUUUUGGAUUCUACGUUGCUAUAUUUCUCUUUUUGUUUGAUGUCGUAUUUAUGGUAUUUCUUCCUACAUAUAGAUUUUUAUUAAGUACCAACAAUAUGCAUCAGUUUGCCUUUACGACUUGUUUUGAAAGAAGACCUAAUGAUGAAGAGUCGCUAAUUGAUACUGUUGACCAAGAUAAUUGUGAACAACCUCUAUUAUAUCUAAAAGUUUUUGGUUUCGAAGCUGAUUUUUCUAGUGUAAACAACAACUUCGAAAGAAGACCAAUACUAUAUCAAAUAUAUAAGUCAAAAAGAAAGAAAAUUGAUCAUUUUGCUUCAAUUAAGAUAAAUCUUAACAAGAGAAAUCUAAAUCUCUUAUUAAAAGAAAAUAAUCAACAGGCGAAACAUUUAAAACUAUCUUCGUUUAAAGGAUUACAUUCAAACAGUGCAAAAAUUAAGGUUAAUUUGUCAAAAAAGCUAUUGCAGAAUCUUACAUCUACAAAAGUGGAAAAUGAUAACGAUUGGAUAUUACGUCAGUUGGCAAUGUUAAAUAAAUUGGGUAUACAUUUAUUAGUUCCUUUAAAAUUAAAGGGCUAUAAAAACAAUAAAUCAAUAAUUGAUUGUCUCAAAGAAAGGGAUAAUUUUGAUGAUAUAUUUUCUAAAUAUUGUCGAUUUUUUGUGGAAAGUUUGAUUAUUCAUGAGAAUGGAUUACUCUUAGCUAAUGAACUUGCACAAGAAUUACAAGCUGAACAUAAGCACGAAAUAUUGCAACUAGUUACGAAAAAAAUAUUUAGCGAUUGGCCUCCUCCCCUAAGCUAUUUGUGUUGGACAAAGACAAGAGAAUAUAUUAAAGCAUUUAAUGGAGAAAUUCAAAUUUUAGAUUUAAACAACACUGUAUUAGAAACCCUUCUAAAAAACUAUCACGAAAAGUCACUAUUGCAAUCAUCACCCCUUCGGCUUUCUUAUUCCAGGAUAUGGGAAAUGUCAGCGUUGCAUUACGGGAUUUUUGAAAAUAUUGAAUAACAUAUUAAACUGAGACUGUUUCUUUUUGUAUUUUUAAAGAUGCUAUUGAUAAAACUUGAAUAGAUUUAUAAUUUAUUUCUUUUUUGUAGAAGAGGGAGUAUUAUAAAACUUAUUUCUUCCUUAAUAAAGUAAAAACCAUAUGAAUGUGAAGCGAUAGAAGUAACGAAAGUACAACUUACAUUAUAUAUUCUAAAACCGAUAUAAAUAGAGUCAAAUAAAGUUAGAUAAAAUUUAAAUUUGAGUCGUUAUUUUGUAUUUUUACUUUCGUAUUUGCUUUUUCGCUCCUUUCAUAUGACUAAAAGCUGUUAAGUUAUUGUACUUUUUUAUGUUUAAAUUAAUAAUGUUUAACUUUAUCGUAAUCUCAUUAUUAUAGUAUCAAAAUAAGACGAUAACAAUUGCUUUUCACGUGUUAGACUAGAUAAUUGGUAUAACAAAUAAUUCGUUUGUUGAAUAGCUCUAACGCUUAGUAGCUAGCUGGUAAGCUUUGAGGAGUGUAAUCAACAAACUAAAAAUAAUCUAUUCUAAGAAUUGUUGCUCAAUGAAUGACAUGCUUGAGCAAACGGUAGACAACAAGUUUCGUAACGCUUUGUUAACUUGCAGAGGGACAGUGGUCUAGGGGUAUGAUUCUCGCUUUGGGAUUGAAUUAAACAGUUAAAAACUGCAAAAUUGCGAGAGGUCCCGGGUUCGAAUCCCGGCUGUCCCCAUUAAAUUUUUUGAAUUUCAAGUACAGCAAUUUAAUAUUCUUGGCUUACUCGAAAGCAAUAUAAGGUUAUAUUGACAUUUUUUGUUAUGUUAUGUAAUGUCAAUCUCUGAAUCUUUCUCUAACAAUUCUUUUAUUGAAUAUCCUGUUUGCUUUGCAGAUAAGAGAUAUUUGUUUUUUUUAUAAGAGUAUGCAUUUUGCUAAAAACUAUCAACAAGGAAUUGCUCUUUGUAAAGAAAAAUGAUUUUGAACUUUAAAAGAAAUAAUAACAUUCGUC